rnacentral:rRNA from 1 species
GACGAACGCUGGCGGCGUGCCUAACACAUGCAAGUCGAGCGGGGUUGAGGCGAGAGGUAACUCGAACUUCUACCUAGCGGCGGACGGGUGAGUAACGCGUGGGCAACCUGCCUCAAGGUUUGGGAUAACAGCCCGAAAGGGCUGCUAAUACCGGAUAUGCCUAUGGCCUCGCAUGGGGCUAUGAGCAAAGGGGAAACCCGCCUUGAGAUGGGCCCGCGUCCCAUCAGCUAGUUGGUGAGGUAACAGCUCACCAAGGCGACGACGGGUAGCCGGCCUGAGAGGGUGACCGGCCACACUGGGACUGAGACACGGCCCAGACUCCUACGGGGGGCAGCAGUGGGGGAUCUUGCACAAUGGGCGAAAGCCUGAUGCAGCGACGCCGCGUGAGCGAAGAAGGCCUUGGUUGUAAGACUCUGUCCUCAAGAAGAUAAUGACGGUACUUGAGGAGGAAGCCCCGGCUAACUACGUGCCAGCAGCCGCGGGUAAACAGUAACUCGUA